rnacentral:rRNA from 1 species
UGGGGAAUAUUGCACAAUGGGGGAAACCCUGAUGCAGCGACGCCGCGUGAGCGAAGAAGUAUUUCGGUAUGUAAAGCUCUAUCAGCAGGGAAGAAAUUGACGGUACCUGAGUAAGAAGCUCCGGCUAAAUACGUGCCAGCAGCCGCGGUAAUACGUAUGGAGCAAGCGUUAUCCGGAUUUACUGGGUGUAAAGGGAGCGUAGGCGGCCUGCCAAGUCUGAUGUGAAAUACCGGGGCUCAACCCCGGGGCUGCAUUGGAAACUGGCAGGCUGGAGUGUCGGAGAGGCAGGCGGAAUUCCUAGUG